UUAAGUUCAGCGGGUAUUCCUACCUGAUCCGAGGUCAACCUUUCAGAAGUUGGGGGUUUUACGGCGUGGCCGCGCCGCGUUCCACUGCGAGGUGUGCUACUACGCAGAGGAGGCUACAGCGAGACCGCCACUGAAAUUCGGGGACGGCCACCGGGUGAGCGGCGGCCGAGCCCCAACACCAAGCCCGGGGGCUUGAGGGU
rnacentral:misc_RNA from 1 species